AGUGAACGCUGGCGGUAGGCCUAACACAUGCAAGUCGAACGGCAGCACAGUAAGAGCUUGCUCUUACGGGUGGCGAGUGGCGGACGGGUGAGGAAUACAUCGGAAUCUACUUUUUCGUGGGGGAUAACGUAGGGAAACUUACGCUAAUACCGCAUACGACCUACGGGUGAAAGCAGGGGAUCUUCGGACCUUGCGCGAUUGAAUGAGCCGAUGUCGGAUUAGCUAGUUGGCGGGGUAAAGGCCCACCAAGGCGAAGAUCCGUAGCUGGUCUGAGAGGAUGAUCAGGCACACUGGAAAUGAGACAAGGUCCAGACUCCCAAGGGAGGCAGCAGUGGGGAAUAUUGGACAAUGGGCGCAAGCCUGAUCCAGCCAUACCGCGUGGGUGAAGAAGGCCUUCGGGUUGUAAAGCCCUUUUGUUGGGAAAGAAAAGCAGCAGGUUAAUACCCCGCUGUUCUGACGGUACCCAAAGAAUAAGCACCGGCUAACUUCGUG
rnacentral:rRNA from 1 species